UCCUACGGGAGGCAGCAGUGAGGAAUAUUGGACAAUGGGCGCAAGCCUGAUCCAGCCAUGCCGCGUGUAGGAAGACGGCCCUAUGGGUUGUAAACUACUUUUGUAUAGGAAGAAAUCUUUUUACGUGUAAGAAGUUGACGGUACUAUAAGAAUAAGCACCGGCUAACUCCGUGCCAGCAGCCGCGGUAAU
rnacentral:rRNA from 1 species